rnacentral:tRNA from 1 species
GAUCGGGUGCCGGAAUGGUUACGGCUCGGACUGCAAAUCCGAAGCAUGUCGGUUCGAUCCCGACCCCGAUCUCCA